CUGCAAAAGAACAGUCUCUCUCUCUCUCUCUCUCUCUCUCUCUCUGUGUGUGUGUGUGUGAGAGAGAGAGAGAGAGAGAGAGAGAGAGAGAGAGAGCGCACAUGCUUUCCAGG